GAAAACCAACUUCAAACCAUUUUAUUAAUCCAUUUCAAUUUUAUUUCAUUACAUUUGGAUUCCAUACAAAAAAUACACAAAAAAUUGACACUUUUGACCAAUUGUUGACUUUGGUCAACAGUUGACUUUUUGGUCAACUUUGACCAAAGUCAACCCAAUUCAUAUAAACCCUAUAUUUCACCAUGAUCCAUCAAUACAUUGUCCAUUUACAAAGAAAAUACCAAAAAAAUAAAGUUUUGACCUAUUUUUGACUUUGGUCAACAGUUGUCUUUUUGGUCAACUUUGACCAAA
rnacentral:lncRNA from 1 species